AUACGGAGGGUGCAAACGUUGCUCGGAAUCAUUGGGCGUAAAGCGCGCGUAGGCGGCUUGGCAAGUUGGAUGUGAAAGCCCUGGGCUCAACCCAGGAUGUGCAUUCAAAACUGCCUCGCUUGAAUCUCGGAGGGGGACAGGGAAUUCCCGGUGUAGAGGUGAAAUUCGUAGAUAUCGGGAGGAACACCAGUGGCGAAGGCGCUGUCCUGGACCGACACUGACGCUGAGGCGCGAAAGCGUGGGGAGCAAACAGGAUUAGAAACCCCAGUAGUCC
rnacentral:rRNA from 1 species